AUUGAACGCUGGCGGCAGGCCUAACACAUGCAAGUCGAACGAGUGGCGGACGGGUGAGUAAUGUCUGGGAAACUGCCUGAUGGAGGGGGAUAACUACUGGAAACGGUAGCUAAUACCGCAUACCAUCAGAUGUGCCCACAUGGGAUUAGCUUGUCGGUGGGGUAACGGCUCACCAAGGCGACGAUCCCUAGCUGGUCUGAGAGGAUGACCAGCCAGACUGGGACUGGGACACGGUCCAGACUCAUACGAGAUGCAGCAGUGGGGAAUAUUGCACAAUAGGCGCAAGCCUGAUGCAGCCAUGCCGCGUGUAUGAAGAAGGCCUUGGGGUUGUAAAGUACUUUCAGCGGGGAGGGGUUACCCGCAGAAGAAGCGCCGGCUAACUCCGUGCCAGCUGCCGCGGUAAUAC
rnacentral:rRNA from 1 species